UACAGAGGAGCCAAGCGUUGUCCGGAUUGACUGGGCGUAAAGCGCACGCAGGCGGGGGUGCGCGUGGGGUGUGAAAUCUGGCCGCUUAACGGCCAGGCGCCAUCCCAUACGGCACGCCUGGAGUGAUGCAGAGGUCGAUGGAAUUGCCGGUGUAGUGGUGAAAUGCGUAGAGAUCGGCAGGAACACCCAGGGGGAAACCAGUCGACUGGGCAUCUACUGACGCUGAGGUGCGAGAGCGUGGGGAGCGAACCGG
rnacentral:rRNA from 1 species